AGACAGAGGUGGCAAGCGUUGUUCGGAUUUACUGGGCGUAAAGGGCGUGUAGGCGGAUAUGCAAGCUGGAGGUGAAAGCCCCGGGCUCAACCCGGGAAUUGCUUUGUAGAACUGCAUAUCUAGAGAAAGUCAGAGGCAGGUGGAAUUCCAGGUGUAGAGGUGAAAUUCGUAGAGAUCUGGAGGAACACCGGCGGCGAAGGCGGCCUGCUGGGGCUUUUCUGACGCUGAGGCGCGAAAGCGUGAGGAGCAAACAGGAUUAGAAACCCCAGUAGUCC
rnacentral:rRNA from 1 species